CCUACGGGGGGCAGCAGUGGGGAAUUUUGGACAAUGGGCGCAAGCCUGAUCCAGCCAUGCCGCGUGUCUGAAGAAGGCCUUCGGGUUGUAAAGGACUUUUGUCAGGGAGGAAAUCCCUAGCGCUAAUAUCGCUGGGGGAUGACAGUACCUGAAGAAUAAGCACCGGCUAACUACGUGCCAGCAGCCGCGGUAAUACGUAGGGUGCAAGCGUUAAUCGGAAUUACUGGGCGUGAAGCGUGAGCUCUGAUGUGAAAGCCCCGGGCUCAACCUGGGAACUGCAUUGGAGACUGCACGGCUAGAGUGCGUCAGAGGGGGGUAGAAUUCCGCGUGUAGCAGUGAAAUGCGUAGAGAUGCGGAGGAAUACCGAUGGCGAAGGCAGCCCCCUGGGAUGACACUGACGCUCAUGCACGAAAGCGUGGGGAGCAAACAGGAUUAGAUACCCGAGUAGUC
rnacentral:rRNA from 1 species